GCCCGCUUAGCUCAGUGGUAGAGCGCGUCACUCGUAAUGAUGAGGUCGGUUGUUCAAUCCAGCCAGCGGGCA
rfam:Paxillus rubicundulus Ve08.2h10 scaffold_850_c1, whole genome shotgun sequence.